AGGCUCAAAUGCCUCCAAUGUCCUUUUCUACAAAAAGAAUGAAAAUUAAUAUUAAAUAUUUUCUAACCACACAGCAACAGUAAGUGGGGGAACACCAUGAUGUGUGAUCGGAGAUCACUUAAGUUAUUAAACUGUUUUGAGAUUACUUUAAUAAGAGAAUCAAGAAAAUCAGAGUUGGAAGGGUCCUCAAGAGGUCAUCUAGUCCAACCCCCUGCUCAAAGCAGGACCAAUCCCCAGACAGAUUU